rnacentral:misc_RNA from 1 species
GGCGAAUAAUUUUCACUGUAUUGAAUUGGAGAAUGUGAUUAUCAAUAUUAGUCUAGACAUGCAUUUGAAUUUACAUAAAUAUCAUACAAGUUCCCAGCUAUUUUCUCAUUAGUUUUUUUUUUCAGUUUCCGAUGUGUUGUUUUUACUAAUUAAACAUCUUCUCGGUCCACAGAGAAAUCAGGCUCAUCAGGUUUAAACAACUGGGGCAUCUUUAAGCUGGAGGACGCAGAAUCAACUUUAACUUUCUGAUGAGUCCCUCUUCUAGUAUUUGCAGCAAAUUUUGAAGCCAAAAUUGGGGCUCCUAGAUGCUGAACAUUGUUUGCAUCGUCGAUUGAUAACCUCUCACCACUCACGUUCCCGUAAUCUCCAUCUGCUAGCUCAUUGCAAUGGUAAUACCUUUCCUCUGGGACUGAAAUGUAAGCGAGGCUCCCUCUUUGCAGCCAACUCUUUGGCCAUCCUUCUUUUCUGAUAUCUUCUCCAAACAGAUUGAAUCAAGCAAGCAGCCCAUGUACUCCAUUGGUGAGAAUAGUACCUGAAGGCAUGCUGUAGCUUCUUGCUUUGAAGUCUCUUGAAUUGUUGUGCAACAAAUUUAAGGUCUUCAGCUUGAAGUGCAAAAGCUUCGACUUCAGAAAGAGCUCUGACAGUCCUAGUUGAAGAAGGCAGGUUUCCACUAGAAUUGGGCAUUAAGGCCCAUGUCAAUAAUUCCUCACCGCAGAAGUCACCAGGUCUAAGGGUGAUGGAGUUGAAGAAUCCAGAUCUUCGUCCAUUAGUCGUUGAGCUCUCCAAUUGUCCUCUAAUUAUAAACAGCAUCUCAUUUGCUGGAUCACCUUCUUGAAAUAUAUAGGUUCCCUGAGUACUCAAAGAAGAGACAAGGCGUUUACAUAUGGCAUCAAGUAGCUGUUCAUCCAUUUGUGAGAAAAAUGGGACCUAUGAAAUGAAAGAAUGAAAAUAUGGAUUUAAGAAUAUUUUUAGAGAAUAAAUUGCAAUCUAUCCAUGCUGCAUGAUGAUUCCUUUAAAGAGAUCAGAUGAUCAUGUAAACUAACCAAGAAAAAUAUUCUGUCAUAUCAAAGUCAGGAUGAGGGUUACAAAUGAAUUAGCCGUGUACUUGCUACAAUUGCAACCUCAAUGGGGAAUAUGCCUCCCAGGUGCAAAGAAGCAAGUUCCAGGUUGACUAGCAACAUACAUCUUUGCACUUAUGGAGAUACUUCAGCUGAACAAAAAUCUAAGUAUAUGUGGUGCGUGUAACAGAAAACCUUUCUUGAAUUGCAAACAGCUAUAUUUACUGAUGGUUCACACUGCUAUUUCAGGUGUAUUAUCCUCUAAAUAUUAAAUCAUCAACAAUAUAUCAGAAAAAGAAACCAGGAUAAAUAACAUACACGACGAACAAGGGCCAGACAUAAAUGUUGCUGAAUUUCUCGUCGAAGAUCCAAUGGCAGUGAAUGCAAUAUAGAUUCUUCAUGAACUCCUCUCGUAGCAAGCCAUUUGUACUGAACAAACCGACGCACGCGUUCCUGCAAAUCUGGAGGUAAUUGGUGAUGCCUCAUCCACUCCUCUGUAUCUCUUCGCUUAAUCCUCCACUCUUCAACUCUCGCCGUCAUAGACUGCAAAUUAGUCUGCAUGUUGCCAAUCAACUGUGCUGAGAGAACUAAACCAAGAAUACAUGUAAUGAUGCAGAAGAUGUUCUCACCAACAAAUGUGCUUGUCUCCAAAGUUUGUGCAUAUGAGCUGCCAACAGAAUAAGAAGAUGUUUCACCAUGAACAAUAAAAUCAAAAUCAUCAGAAAAAUAACAUGCAAUAUAUCACUUAGACAUAAGGAUGAAAAAAUGAUUGAAUAUGUGGAAUCCUUACAUGAGACUAAAUUUGCUAAGGAUAAUCUACAGUGGGAUGUCUGUACAAAAAAAUUUUGACUUGUAGCAAUUACCAUUGCAUUAUUGAAAUUAGAACUGCAGAAACUAAUGCCACUUUCAUAUUUAUUCUAAAUAUUCUUUCAAAAAGAAAAACUAAGCAGCUUGUGAUUUUGCAAGUGAUAAAUCUGAAUUCAUGUGAAUGACCAUCAGCUCAACCAAUGUCACAGAAAAUUACAUAUAGAACUCUCAGUUUCCUUUAAUGCAAUCUGUGAGCAAAAGACUCCUGUUUUCUGUUUUCUUGACAGAGUAGCUGAUACUGAAUCCCAAGGAAUCCAUUUUAACUAUGAUCACUGAACCUAAUUCAUGUAGACAAAUACUAGAUCUUUUCUAGAUCCAUAUUGAACUACUUUUCUUCACAUAUUAAACUACUAUAUUAGUCCCUUGUUAUACUUUCAAAUUUUAAUCCCUGACUAGCAUCCUAUAUGACCUUAGAUUGUAUAUCAAUGUCAUAAAAAUUCCUAACCUCAUCCUGUGCAUUUGACUUGUGAAGCAUCCCAUGUGUACCAGAAAUAUCAAAGCGGCAUUACCACAUAGGAUGCUACUACAUAUGGUACAUUAUGCAGGUGCAUGUAGGAUUAUUUGCAUCCAAAUAAGAUAUCUUCCACAUAAAUAAAUUUAGAAAUGAAUGAUUACAUAUUUAUUUAUGAAGUCUUUAAGAUAUAAACCUAAAUAAUGCCAAACAAAAAGAUGAACUGAAACAUAAUAGUUAUUUUAUAAAAUUAAUUAAGGUAAAGAUAAACCAAACUGAGGAUAAAUGUAGCACAGAAUCUACAUACAAAACAAGCUAUCAGUUCAUAGACUGCAAAAUGGCACUUGCUGAAUCUCAUACCUUAAAUUUCUUAAGGCCCACCACAGACAAUAUAAGUACUUAUUAAUAAAAGGUGAGGUAGCAACAUCAUUUGUAAAAGCACCAGAAAAUAUUCCAAAGUGAAAUAAAAAUUGCUGUCAUUUGGGUCACAAUUAGCAGGAACAUGAGUGACAUUCCGCCAGUAUUGACGUUCAAAUUUUCCCAAACUGCUACAAUCUAGAAAAGGCUCAAUGCAACCUAAAGUUCCUGACUUAUUCUCCUUUAAACACUCUGACUUCCAGCAGUAGAAUUGCCGCCCCAGCGAUAACAGGUACCAUGAAGCUCCUAACGUAUGACUAGCAAGCAUGUAAAGAAGGAGAUUGUAUGCAGCGCCUGCCCAAGCAGUCUUGGCAACAAAGCCAGUAGUUUUUACAAUACGUUGAGGCAAAGGGAAGAUAACAAAAAGUCUGGGAAUAUAUUGAAUAAGAACUAUGAGAGACAAUGCACUGUUAGUAUGAUCAGCACUAUUAUUUCUUGUGGCUGGAAUUACUACCCAAAUGACAAACUGCAAGGAAGAAGUUUUACAAUCACUUAAACCAUGGAAGAUGGUAAAGUAGCAAUUAUAGAAUUGAAAACAGGGUUUGAUAAAGGUUCUUCUCUACGCUCUGCUAUCUGUGAGACGCUCAAUGCUAACCACAAUCUGUCCUAGAUUAGAAAUUAAUCCAAGACCAUAACCAUUGCAUCUCAUGGGCUACUAAUCUGUAUUAUGGAAAAUUUUAAUUUUGCGUAAAUUGAGACUAUCUCAAUGUUUCCAACCCCUAAUUAAUUUUCCAUACCCGUAUUAUUCUAUUACAAACUACACCUGAUUCUUUUGUCUCAGUUCCUUUCUGAUUAGGCUCAAUUUCUCAAAUGGAGCCUACCUGAGGAAGCGGAAGCGCAGCGGCUAGAUCGAUAACGAAAUCGGACUUGAGAUAACGCAUGGCAAUUUCCCUAGAGUCCAUGACGAGUUCACCCCAUCCGAAAACCCUAGAACUCGGAGCAACAAAAGCUGUACGGAACUACAUGAGAAUGUGCAGCGAGAAGAAUGCGUCAGCAAUAGACCUAAAAUAGGUGAUCAAGAUAGCAAGGCGAUUGUCGUUGCUCAAGCAGACGCCGUCGGCACCCACAUAGGGGAGGAAAAAGAACAGAGGAUCGAUAAAGAGAGCAAUAAUUUAGGUUAUGAGGAAGACGUAGUUCCAAUAUGUGACAAUGUCGCUGUCCGGAUCGAGUAUCUGGUAGCGCCAUAGGAUAAGGAGAGGGUGAGCGUCUGCUGUAGUGCUUGAGGCAGAGAGAGACGGAGAAAUAAGGAGUUUACGGAAGCGCUGGAGGUGGCGGAACUUGAAAUUUGGGUUGGGGAUGAAUCUAUUCAUCUUCCAUGGCGGAGUUUUGGGCGGAAUUCGGAUUCCGCGGAGAGAAGAAAGAGAGGAAAGCAAUUUGAAGGAAAGGUGAUAAUUCGGAGGCGAAGAAACAGUAGAAAAAUCAUUGCACAGAGAGAGAGGAGGAGGAGGAAGGAGGGUGGAGAGGGAUAGAGUGGUGGUGAUGAUGAUGGUUAUGGUUGAGAUUGAGAUGAGAAUUUAGCGCGAAACGCGAGAACCACGCGGAUUUUGGAGAAAAU